rnacentral:rRNA from 1 species
UACGGAGGGAGCUAGCGUUAUUCGGAAUUACUGGGCGUAAAGCGCACGUAGGCGGCUUUGUAAGUAAGAGGUGAAAGCCUGGAGCUCAACUCCAGAAUAGCCUUUUAGACUGCAUCGCUUGAAUCAUGGAGAGGUGAGUGGAAUUCCGAGUGUAGAGGUGAAAUUCGUAGAUAUUCGGAAGAACACCAGUGGCGAAGGCGGCUCACUGGCCCGGUACUGACGCUGAGGUGCGAAAGCGUGGGGAGCGAACAGG